GGUGGUAAUGCCGGAUGCUCCGACUCCUCGCAUGGGGUGUCGGGAAAGAUUUCAUCGGUAUGGGAUGGGGUCGCGUCCUAUCAGGUAGUCGGCGGGGUAACGGCCCACCGAGCCUACGACGGGUAGCCGGCCUGAGAGGGCGACCGGCCACAUUGGGACUGAGAUACGGCCCAGACUCCUACGGGAGGCAGCAGUGGGGAAUAUUGCACAAUGGGCGCAAGCCUGAUGCAGCGACGCCGCGUGCGGGAUGACGGCCUUCGGGUUGUAAACCGCUUUUGAUCGGGAGCAAGCCUUCGGGUGAGUGUACCUUUCGAAUAAGCACCGGCUAACUACGUGCCAGCAGCCGCGGUAAUACGUAGGGUGCAAGCGUUAUCCGGAAUUAUUGGGCGUAAAGGGCUCGUAGGCGGUUCGUCGCGUCCGGUGUGAAAGUCCAUCGCUUAACGGUGGAUCUGCGCCGGGUACGGGCGGGCUGGAGUGCGGUAGGGGAGACUGGAAUUCCCGGUGUAACGGUGGAAUGUGUAGAUAUCGGGAAGAACACC
rnacentral:rRNA from 1 species